rnacentral:lncRNA from 1 species
CGACAUGCUUUCGAUUUUUUGAAUACAAAUAGAAAUCUGGAAAAAGUUAUUAAAAUGACUCUCCAUUGGGAUUAGAACUUUAAAAAAACUAUAUGUGAAAGUAUCAACUCUGGUAGUAAUACGCACUGAUUGAUUCAAGCGCAAUUGCAUCAUGAAUAUAAAAAUUAUAAAUUAAGUAUGAUAAAAUUAAAUAACAGAGAUAUUAAUGAAAGAAUGACUAAUAGCAAAAAGAUCGGUUUGUCCACGCAAAGAAAUUAAAAAGAAAAAUGCGAACUUAAAUUAACAAACCAUAACCAUUUUAUCCUUCAACGAAUGCCAUAGCCUCCUCCUUAGAAAUCGACUCAACUGUUGAAACUUUGUGAUUAAACAUUACUCCGUAAAAAUUGUCCGCAACUUUCACCAUCUCAGGCCGAAAAGUAGUGCAAAUAAAUUGACUAGUUUUUGACAUCUCUUUGACCAUCGCUGCAAUGGCCGAGCGAUAUUGUGCAUCUAAAUUAGCAUCACAUUCAUCGAGUAUAUUAAAAGGCGCAGGAUCACAGCGUUGGAUAGCAAAAAUUAAAGUUAAAGCACAAAGUGACUUCUGACCGCCACUCAAUUGAUUAAUAUUCAGUUGUUCAUCAUCCUUACUGUUAAAAGAAACUCUUAUGCUGAUACCUGUAUAAUUGUCGAUCGAGCUUUUCUGGGAUGGCGUAUCAAUGUCCAUGGAGAUGUCUUGUUCGAUGCUUUGACUCAAUUCACUUCUUCUAUUCAUAACCAAUUCACCUCUACCUGCCGGAACAAGUUUAACGAAUAUUUCAGAAAAGCUUUUAGCAACUUGUUUAAAGGUACGCUCAAUUGCUUCAUCUUUUCUUUGGUCAAGUACUGUCGUAAGCUCACUAAUUGACUCCUGAGAACGACGCAACUCUUCUCUCCUAGCCAACAAUGAAUCGCGUUGUUUAGUAAAAUUAUUAAAUUGCUCAUAUGCUUUCUUAUUAACGCUUCCAUAAUCUUUAAGGGCUUCGUUGAUUUUAUGAAGUUUCUUCACAAUAGCAUUUGAGCUAGUUGAAACAUAUUUAAUAAAUGCUUCUUCCGGCAAAACCCCCAAUGAUUUAAUUUUCUCGUUACAUUCUUUUUUCCGUGCGAGAAGCAAACUUCUCUUUGCUGCGUUUCUUUCGUUAAUUUUUGCAUCUUGUUCAAUUCGGGUAGCCACUUCGUGCUGCAAUUCUUCUAGCGAUUCCAAUUCAUUUCGUUUAUCGCUUAUUUCAGAAUUGAUUCUUUGCAUUUGUUCCUCCAACCCAGAAGAUGAAGAUUUAAUAAUUUGCAAUUUGUUUUCAUACUUAAGUAGAGAUCUCUUUACGCUGUUCAAUUCUGAUUCGUCUAUUCUGUUAUCAGAACCAAUUUCAGCUUUCAAUGGAUUCCUUCUUAAAUAUAAGUUUGUAUUUAAUUCAUAUUCAAGAGCCGUCUUUCUUGCUUCUAUAUGUGCUCGUUCUUUAAUGAUGGCAUCAAACUCAUGAGAGAGAUUUUCAAUUUGACCACUCAAAGACUUUAGUGCUUCCACAUCUUUGGGAUCAAGUUCAUCCAUUUCUGAACUUAAUUCAGAUUUCAAGUCAUUAGCUUGUUGUUCAAGUGUAUGUAGUUCCAAAACAACAAGCUCAAGCAUACGACUUUUAUGAUGCAUUGAUUCUUGAAGAUCUGUUGUUUCUCCAGUAAUAGUUACGAGUUCAUCUUUAAGAGGAAUAUGAUCUCUUUCAAAUUGCUUUAAACUUAGUUGAGCCUUUUGCAAAUCAUCUAAGCAUGCAGUAAUUUUUUGGUCAAAAGAUUCAAUUUCGGAACGACAUUUCUCCAAACUUUCUUGUAAAUCCGAGAAUUUGAUCUGGUAUGUUUUAACGUUUUUGAUAGCAUCCAGCCUGGAAUUUCUAUAAUCACGAUACCCGGCAGUUAAUGCACCUUUUUUGUCAGAUCGAUCACCACUUAAAGUAAUACCGUUUAAUUGAUGAGAUCGAGCAUACUGGGAGGCGGUCUCAAUCGAUGGACAAACAAUGGUUUUCGAAAAAACUUGUUUAAUCGCAGCAUCAAACUUGGGAUCGAACUCUAAAUAUUGAAUUAAAGGUAAAGCAUCACUGGCAUCAGGAUAAGUAACCGCCUUUGGACGAAGCUUGUUCAAAGGCAUGAACGUAACUCUACCGGCAUUUUCUUUAUAUAUAACGUCAAGAAUUUGAGUUGCGGUUUCAUCGUUAUCUACCACGAUAUGAAAUAGACUGUUCCCAGCAGUAGCCUCAACAGCGACCUUGAAACGGUUAUCAACCUUGAAAAGCUCACAAAGUGGACCAUAGUAACCUUCGAGUUUCAGACGUUCAGCAAUGUCUUUGACAGCUCUAAUACCAUUACUUGUAUUCCGAUCCAUUGUAGUCCCCAAAGCCUUCUCAGAACGAGAAAGAUCGUCCUUAACAUUUUCGAUAGACGACUUAAGUUUGGCUUCUUCUCUCCACAGAGAUUUCCUUUUGUCCGUCAAAUUUUCUUUCCUUUCAUUAAUUGAAGUAAUGUUAGCAAGUAGUUGCGACAUUCGAUCACCUUGAGAUUCAAGGGAAAUUUCAAUUUCCUUUUUACGAGAUAAUUUUGCUUUGAGUUCAUUUUCCAUUUCGUCAUACUCAGUCUUCAAGUAAUCACUGUUCUCCUUUGUAGAAUUAAUGUUACGGUUGAUCUGUAAGAGCUGAUUUCUGAUCCAUUCAUCACGUUCUUUUUUGGUAGUGAAUUGAGAAGUCCUCGAUUGCUUGUCCAAAAGUGAUUGCUUCUGAUUUUUGAGCAGCAUGAUUCUUUUAUUAAGAUCAUCAGCUUCAGAUACUAUAGCGUUAUACUUUGGAAGAAUUUCUGAAAGCUCAUUUUCUUUCUCAGAGAUUUUUGACUCUAAUUCAGAAAGUAUGUUGAGCUUUGAGCUCUCAUCUUUCUUCGAAAAUUCAAUUUGACGUGAUAAUUGAGAAGACUGUAAUUCCAAUGCGACUUUACUUUUCAUAAUAUUGGUAUAAUCCUCAUCGUUUUGCUGUUUUUCAACACGUAAAAGCUCAAGCGAGUGGUUGAGCUCUGUAAUUUCAGCCUUAAUUCGUUCAAUGCGUUCCUCUCUUUGAAUGAAAGCACCCGAAUCAUCAUCAUUACGCUCAAGUGCAGCUAUCCGGUCUUGUUCUAAGGCAUCCAAUACGGAGUUAAUCUCAUCAUGCUCGCGAGAAUAAAUAGCAUAUUCCAAGCAUCUUCUUUCGUUGUCUUUUUUGUGAUAAACUGCAAGAUCGUUUUUCUCCUCUUCUAACUCACGCAACCGUUCUUCAAUGUAUUGCAAAAGUUCAUCAAUUUUCUCCGAUUUUUGAAUUGUCUCGUCCAUAAUUUUAUUGGAUUCAGCUCUUCUGUUCUCAUAAAUUUGAGUACCUGCAACCUCUUUUAAAAGUUCUAAACGCUCUGAAUCCUUUGCAUUGGUUAGGGAUGUGACCCUUCCUUGAGGAACAAUGUAGUAAGGAUUGGAUCUUGAAAACCCAGCAGACUCGAGAAGAUUAAUAACCUCUGUCUUGCUUACAGUUUUCUUAUCCAAAGAGUAUUCGUCUUUUUUCAAUCCAAUUGUACGACGCAAGACAACUUCGCUUUUACCGGUGGGAAAUCGAUUAUCAGCAUUAGCGAACGUAACUUCAACGUAUGCGCUCAUGACAGUUGCACCAGGGCCUUCAUGCAGCAAAGCUUGUCUUUCUUCACGGCUUAAAUGUGUAUACGCAUCACUUAAUACGAAUCGAAUUGCAGCAAAAAAAUUGCUUUUACCAGAUCCAUUUCGUCCCACAAUUACAUUGUGGUGAGGGCUUAAAGGCUCUAUUACAGUAUAAUCUUUAUAAGAUUUAAACCCUUGAAUAACAAUCUUAAUAAAUCAGUUAACUGGGGUUCUAUAAUGCUUUACUUACUUUUGUGAUAUACAUAGAUUUGUGGUUGGUUUGGGUUAAAGUAUUUACGCGUCGCGUGUCUUCUUUAUGGCGUGUAAGUAUCAAUCUUUGUGGUAACAGAGUUCUAAGAAUCUACAACAUAAUAAUUCAUUCAUACUAACCAAGAUGAGAAAUUCUUUGAGUUGUUGAUGUUGAUUUUGUUAUGUUUUUUCUAUAUGAAACUGUAUUAACUGAAGAUCGUUUGCUUUUCUCUUUACUGCCGCAUCAAUUUCCAAAUAUAAUAUUUCUUUAUUAAACUACUGGGAAUGCACAAUCAAAUUGGUAGAAAGCGCGCUAGCUUAAUUGAGUAUGUGAUUUUUUAGAUGCCAAGUAUGCAUUAGUGUUAAAUAAGCAAGCUGCUCUUGAGCGUCAGCGUUUCAGUAAUGAAUUUAAAAAAAUGCAUAUAUGAGCUUAUGUAUUGUUUCUUUUCUAUCUGACUUUUUAUUGUCAAGCUUUAAUGAGGAAAGCCGCUCACACUAACAUUAAAUGUCUUUUGGAAAUGUAAUAUAUAUUUUAUUGAUCGAAGAAUGGAAAAAAUAUAAUCCACUAAAUUAAAAAAAAAAUCAUUGGUUUGCAAAAAUCAUCUUGUAACUUAUGGUAAUCAUAAUUUGCUAACUUCUUACAUUUUUAUAUACCAGUUUUAUUUACAACAAAAAGUUUUUACUACCACCUACAAAAUACAAAAACUUGG